rnacentral:rRNA from 1 species
CAGUAGCCACGGGAAUACAGAGGGUGCAAGCGUUAAUCGGAUUUACUGGGCGUAAAGGGCGCGUAGGUGGUUAUGUAAGUGAGAUGUGAAAUCCCCGGGCUCAACCUGGGAACUGCAUCUUAUACUGCGUAGCUGGAGUGCAGUAGAGGGUAGUGGAAUUUCCGGUGUAGCGGUGAAAUGCGUAGAUAUCGGAAGGAACACCAGUGGCGAAGGCGGCUACCUGGACUGACACUGACACUGAGGCGCGAAAGCGUGGGGAGCAAACAGGAUUAGAGACCCCAGUAGUCCCUGUCUCUUAUAC